rnacentral:lncRNA from 1 species
GAAAAAGCAAGUGCAGGAACAGCAAGAAGCAGAGUGAGAGAGGUGGGGAGAAUUCAAGAUGAUGUUAGAGAGAUGACAGAGUCUAGGUUAGGGAGGGCCUGAGUCCUUGUAGACUCUGAGUACGGUGCUGAGCAGGGAAGAGACAGGCUCUGGCUUAGGGUUUAGAAGGAACACAGGCUACUGCGAUGAGGAUUGUCUGAAGGGGAACAAAGGCCAAGGUGGGGAGACCACUUAGAACUCUACUGCUCUACUUUAGGUGAAAUGUUAGAACUGGGUGAGCCGAAAACAUGCUCAGCAUCUGUGAGGAGGGGGCACAGAGGGAGCAAGGAUGGAUCCAGGGUUUUUAGUCUGAUCAACUGAAAGUCUGGAACAGCCAUUACUUAAAAUAAGGAAGUCUAAGGGAAGAAGAGAUUUAGGGGAGAAUAUCACGAAACUUGGUUUUAGGAUGGGUGCAUUCGAGAUGCAGAUUGCACAUCCAAGCCAAGAUGCCAAAUGUUGUUUGAAGCCGUGAGACUGAGUGAGAUCAUGGAGGAAGUGAAUGUAAAUAGAAAAGGGAAGAAGUCUGAAGACGGAGCCCUGAGACACUCCAUUGUAAACUGGAAGAUGAGGAAGAGCCAGCAAAGGAGACUGAGAAGGGGCAGCCAGUGAAGAUGGAGCCAGGGCUAGAGUAAGAGCCCCUUCUGGGAUGCUGUGACCCCCAAGUUUGAAGACUGCUGAUAACCCCAAUCUACGAAGACUAGCUAUGGAACUUCCUACACUGAGACAACUCCAGUGGAACUCUGAUAAUUAUCCUAAAAUAAGGAGGCUUCUUCAGUAGCCCUCGAAAUAUGUUCAAAUACAUGAUUACAUUUAUGUCCUUAAUAUUGCUAUUAGUUUCUGAUGUUAAUGUAAAAGUUGGGGAAAAAGUGGAAAAGUUAAAGCAGUGCAGGUUAAUUCAAUGCCAGAGUAACUUCUCAGAGGGUGUAUAUUCAGUGUGAACAAUUUUCAACAGAGAAAUGUCAACUUCUGGCCACAACGGCAACCAGUAAAAUGACUAUUUUUACUGUCUUAUCUAUUAAUGAAGAGGAGAUUGCAUAAUAUAGAUGAAGGAGCAUAGUAUUUGCAGGUGGAACGCCUAGCAGGGCUUGAGUCUCAACUCUGCUGCUUUUACUCUAAUUGACCGAGACAAGUCAUUUAAACUAAUAGAGCUUCAAUUUUCUCAUAUCUAAUGUAACAUAACAAUUCACAGCCUUUUACUUUGUAGUUAUCGUGAAGAUCUAAUCGCAGUGAAAUAUAUUUAUAUAUCUGUCUGCUGAUAGAACUUUUGUCAUAGAGGCUAGUCCAUUUUAUGUCAACGGGGCUUAAAUAAGAUCUGUGCCAGCAACUGAAUUACACUAAUGAGUGAGUAAUUACAAAAGAAGCCUGCUUUAUCAAUCUAUAUAAAGAAGAAAGUUACUGAGUAUGGAGGGGAGAUUCUCCUUUCAUAUUGGCACUCAUUCUUACUUUCCCUGAAAUAGAGAUUAUAGUAGUCUACCAGCAAUUUUCAAACUUCAAUUCUGGCCUGGAAAUUGGACAGAAGGGGUCCAAGGACAAUGAACCGAAAGUGCCAGUGAAUGUCUCAGUGCAGACUUGGAGUCAUAGUGGUUAAUUUGCAAAAUUAACUCCCUAUUCAGACUUCAGGCAGUUACAUGUCAACCAACAUCAACUUCGACCCUUAAUCUUCAGCCUCAACCUAGUAAUAAUAUCUCUGAGGUGAAUAAGCUAUGAAGUGGACAUUUCCACCUUCCUUUAUUUUAUUUUAUUUAUUUUUUUGAGAUGGAGUCUUGCUGUGUUCCCCAGGAUGGAGUGCAGUGGCACAAUCUGGGCUCACUGUAACCUCUGCCUCCUGGGUACAAGAGAUUCUCCUGCCUCAGCCUCCCGAGUAGCUGGGACUAGAGGUGUGUGCCACCACGCCUGGCUAAUUUUUUGUAUUUUUAGUAGAGACAGUGUUUCACAGUGUUAGCCAGGCUUGUCUCUAUCUCCUGACCUCUUGAUCUGCCCGCCUCGGCCUCCCAAAGUGCUGGGAUUACAGGCAUGAGCCACCACACCUGGCCCCACCUUGCUUUUUUAUUAAGACUGCUAAUAAUAAGUUACUGUGCUUUCUUAUUAUAUCCCCUUUUGGUCUCUGUUAACAAAAAAUACAGUUGUAUGUAAAUUUUAGUAUAUGACAAUGUUCAUCUCACAAUACGUACAGUGAUAAUAGUGGAAGAGGAAGGAAGGUAAAACUUUUGCUGUGAUUCCAUAAAUGAGCAACGUGGGACACCCUUGUAUGAGUCCAGUGCUUACACAAGCGCCUGAACACAGAGCUGCCAGGCUGGGUGCAUGUGUCAAACUCUGCCAAAGCCCUGAAAGCACCAGUUGUGAAAAGCUGGAAAAAGGUCUUGGCAACCAAAAUUCAUGUUGAUUUUUGUCACCUUUUUGAGCAAAUAUUCUUUGCAGAUCAAUAGUCCAUUGGUUUAAUUUUACAAAUGUUUUCUUUUGAAUUUUCUUUCCUCCCAAUGUAGUUUCAAAAAACUAGUCCAUUUAAAAAAUGAUCCUUUUUAUGGAGUGAAAGAAUACAAUACUCAGAGUGGUUCCAUGCUCAAGUUCCAAGAUGCAAAUUUUUUUAUGCAAGUCUCAUAUUCAAUUAAUAGCCCCGAGAUUAUGAAAGAUCCAUUACCUUCUCAAUUGCAGAUUCAGGUAUUGCCAACACAACACAAAGCAGCAUUAAAAUUCAUGUCAUUCUAUAAUGGUAUUUUCCAAAAUGUACUUUUUCCAAACACUUUCCAAAAUGUACUUUUUCAGGUUGCUUUAAAAAUUUUAAUAUAAAAUUUAACAAUUAAAAAUGUAUUUUAUAGUCAGAAUAGCAGGAACUCUUUGUAAGUACUGAGGGAUUAUCACUAAAUAAAAUGUAUAGCAAGUGUGCUAUAGCAGUAUUCUUCUGUAAGAGAUAUCCAGAGUUAUUGACCUGAGAGAAGGAGGAGAAAUGCAUGUAUGAAUGCAAAGAAUCCUGUUUUUCUUCAGCAGGGUACUGAAAACUAAUUCUUCUUCAUGAGGGAAGGCAAACAACCCUCUCUCUGGUCUCUUUUCUACUAUGAUUCAUUUUUUGGUCUAAGUUUUUUCCCAAACCAAGAGUAGACUCCCUCCUGAGUCUCUAUUGACUUACCUGGCUGCCAACAAAGGAAGGCUACUAGUUUCUUGGAAUUCAUAUAAUUAUAUUUCUGUGGGCACUCAUAAAGAGCCAUCAGCUCUGUCCUUGCACACCCCACUUCUAGACUUGCCUCCAGCCGGGGGUGGUAAUAACUGAAAAGAAAACAUUUCUUGACCUACUCCAGUACCUCAUAAAUCGAAAUGUAUCCCUUCAACUAACACUCAAAUUCCAUCUUAUUAAUAUAACUGCCAAACUAAAUUAAGUCCAAUUUUACUUUUUUGUUUACCUCCUAUACAAUGGAAUCAUAUUUUUUCAUAUUAAAAUUUUAGCAAAUAAUAUGUCACCUACCAUUUGCACCUCCACACGAUGCUAGAGAAUUAAGUUGGGAAAGUCAGACCUCCAAUGCUCUUGAUACAAAUAAGUCCUGACCAAAGAUUUAACCAGAAUGUUCCCUCAGUGCUGCUAAAUAAAUAUUUAUUUAUGUAUGUAUUUAUGUAAUACUUCUCCUUUGAAAAGAGAACUUGAGGUAGUCUCCAGAAAUAUACACAUACCAGUGGAAGAAAAACAGACCAAUCUGUGGAAAUUAAAGCAAGAAGAAAGAUAAGCUGGAAGAAAAUAUAUAUUGAAGCAGUAAUGUUGGUGCCUGCCAUACUGGUCUUAGCGUUCUGAUAGGUUCCUGCAUGUUGGUGGUAAUUUUGAAACAGACUAUCCUAAUAAUCCAGGCAAAUAUAGUUUGAAAGCACAAUUAGUCAUGAGACUACCCAUGUUGCUGGCCAAAAUCACACUGCUGUGAGAGACAGCACAGUUGUUCCUGUUCCUGAGAUGCAUGAGGAAUUUUUCUCAUGGUUCCUUAUGAAGUAGACACUGAGUGAUUGGUAGCUAUUAGUGGGAAGCAGGAUAUCUGGGAAGAAGAGGGAAAAAUGACAGCAUUGCACAAAUUUGAGGGAAUGGAUUCUUUGCCUUUAUCAUAUUUAAUGUAAGCUCCUAGUGAUUAAUGAGUUUGAAAUGCCUGGUCAUCUACAUAUGUGUGCCUGAUUCCAGGAGAGAUGGAGUCUGACAGUUUGUAUAGCAGCUAAGUUCAUGGGAAUGGAGUCUGCUGCCUAAGGCCCUGAGCAGCCUUUAUUGCAAAUUCUGUAGAGUAACCCGCUGUGUAGCAAACAGUCAGGAUCACUUAUUAUUAUUUACAGACUUUCCAAAGCUCUCAUCAAAUAGGAGCCCCACACUGUCAAUUUCUGGAAAUAUCAAUGCUUAAUGCUUCCCCAUUCACAAAGUAUGGGGAAGGUGUUGUCAAUCUGGGGAUAGAGGGGAGACUUGUGCCACGUUUUAGAGGAUGGCACUUUGGAACUUAGGGAUACAGAAGUCUAAUGUGAGGACAGCCAUUUGGCGGUCACCUGUCUUAUUCACAAGAGAGGAAUUAACUUCAUAGCAUCCCUAUUGUUUGAAAAGGGGACUUACUGAGUGCCAUCUAUGUGCAAGCUAAUAGGUAAACAGUAAUAUGUUUUCCAAAAGCAGAUGGAAAUUUUGAGAGUCCCAAAGCUUAUAUAAUUAAGGGCAAAGAGAAGGUUUAAGAAAUUUAUAAAUAUAAAACUAUGUAUAAGACUGCGCAUGUAGGCCAUGCAGAGGAGGUAAAGUGCAAGCUUUGGUAACUUCACAGAAAAUCUAUCUAUGAUGGUGUUCUCCUAUAAUCCUCAGAGUAACCAAUGAUCUGAGUGAAACUCUCUCCAUGUGACACAGGACAAAACUGAGAUCCAAUUUUUGUAGUUGCCAAAUUUUGCAAAUAAAAACAAUGGACUUUAAGUUAAAUUUGAAUUUCUAAUAUACAACAAAAAAAUUUUAAUAUAAAUAUGUUCUCAAUUUUUUUAUAUUAAAAAAU